rnacentral:rRNA from 1 species
GUAGGUGGCAAGCGUUGUCCGGAAUUAUUGGGCGUAAAGCGCGCGCAGGGCGGUCCUUUAAGUCUGAUGUGAAAGCCCACGGCUCAACCGUGGAGGGUCAUUGGAAACUGGGGGACUUGAGUACAGAAGAGGAAAGCGGAAUUCCAAGUGUAGCGGUGAAAUGCGUAGAGAUUUGGAGGAACACCAGUGGCGAAGGCGGCUUUCUGGUCUGUAACUGACGCUGAGGCGCGAAAGCGUGGGGAGCAAACAGGAUUAGAUACCCUGGUAGUCCACGCCGUAAACGAUGAGUGCUAAGUGUUAGGGGGGUUUCCGCCCCUUAGUGCUGCAGCUAACGCAUUAAGCACUCCGCCUGGGGAGUACGGCCGCAAGGCUG